rnacentral:rRNA from 1 species
UACGUAGGGUGCGAGCGUUAAUCGGAAUUACUGGGCGUAAAGCGUGCGCAGGCGGUUUUGUAAGCCAGAUGUGAAAUCCCCGGGCUUAACUUGGGAAUGGCAUUUGGGACUGCAAGGCUGGAGUGUGGCAGAGGAGACUGGAAUUCCCGGUGUAGCAGUGAAAUGCGUAGAUAUCGGGAGGAAUACCGAUGGCGAAGGCAGGUCUCUGGGCUGACACUGACGCUCAUGCACGAAAGCGUGGGGAGCAAACAGG